rnacentral:rRNA from 1 species
AUGCCCAUGGAGGUCGACCUCGACCGUGCACGCGCUCUGCGCGUUCUCGGCCGAGGCGCCAUGGGCACCGUCUUCCUUGUCGAGGCCGACCCGGCGCGGCCCGGCUGCGGCCGCUACGCCCUCAAGGUCUUCGACAAGCGCUCCGCCGGGCCGACCAAGCCCGACGCCGACCGCCGCGCACGGUGGGAGGUGACCCUGCUCUCCCGCCUUGCGCACCCGCACCUGCCGUCCCUCAUUGGCACCGCCGAGACGCCCGACCUCCUCGCCUGGGCCGUCCCCUACUGCCCCGGCGGUGACCUGAACGAGCUCCGCUACUCCCUAGCUGACCGUGUCUUCUCUCCGGCCGCCAUACGCUUCUACAUCGCCGAGACCGUGUCCGCGCUCGCCGACCUCCACGCCUCCGGCAUCGUGUACCGCGACCUCAAGCCCGAGAACGUGCUACUCCGAGCCGACGGCCAUGUUACCCUCACCGACUUCGACCUGUCGCGCCUCCUCCCGGCCUCUACCUCUUCCCCGUCGACGUCGCCUCCUCCUCAGGUGAAGCCCGUCUUCCACAGCGGCCACCGCCGGACGCGCGCCUCCGCUGCUGGCCACCACGCCAAGCGCGAGCCUUCGUCUGCGGCCGCGUCGACGCCGAAGCUGCAGCAGUUUCAGAACCUGGUUCGUUUCCUGACGCGAAGCAACGGCAGCGCUCCCGAGCUGGCCAAGAAGACCAAGUCGGCGCGCGUGUCCCCGGUGAGCCGGAAGGCCGCAUGCUCCGGCGCGGCGUGGGGCAGGUCGUACUCGUUCGUCGGCACGGAGGAGUACGUGGCGCCGGAGGUGGUGAGCGGCGACGGCCACGGGUUCGCCGUCGACUGGUGGGCGGUGGGCGUGCUCGUCUACGAGAUGGCGUUCGGCCGCACGCCGUUCAAGGGCAAGAACCGCAAGGAGACGUUCCGGAACGUGUUGCACAGGGAGGUCGAGUUCCCGGGCGACACCCAGCGCCGGAUGCCGGAGCUGACCGACCUCAUCUCGCGGCUGCUGCAGCGGGAUCCCGCGAGGCGGCUCGGGUACGCCUGCGGCGCCGACGAGAUCCGGGCGCACCCGUUCUUCGCCGGGAUGGCGUGGGACAUGCUCGCGGAGGUGACCCGCCCGCCCUACAUCCCGCCGCCAGCGGAGGACAACGCAGCCGACGGCGAGGGCUUCGACGUGAGGGACUACUUCAAGAAGCUCCACCAGCCGCAGCCUCCGGAGUCGGGCUCCUCGUCGUCGUCGUCGUCGUCGGACUUCUCGUCGGUGUUCUGA